CAAUCAGAAAAUGACAACUUCUUUUCAGUGUCUUCUAAAAUCUAUUAAGUGAUAAUACAAACACCUAAUGCAAAAUAUAUCUAAAUUAAAGGUGUCUAAACCUGCAUUGUAGUGGUUCUCAGAGCCAACCUAAAUGCAAGCAACACAACAGUACUGGAUGAUCAUUCAGUGAAAUGAAUCCUGGUAUCCUCUGCUCUUCACCACUUCUCUACUUUCAGUCUGGAAUGCUUAAACACGUUAAGUGUUGUUGUGCAGACGAGCUGCCACAUCUUCAACAUGUCCUAAGCUAUGCAGCAACAAGACAUGUACCACAUAACGUAACAUUUGAAUGACUCAAGUUUCUGAGUCAAAGGUUCUUUUAAAACAUGUUAAAUGUAAACCUGGGCCAUUUUAAAGACCCUGGUAUGCUUCAGAAUAAGUGCUUGUUGGAUCAUCUAAGCGCAUCUGAAAAACCUGUUCUACUUCAGAGCUGGAGCAGGGAACGGGGCAGUCAGUCAAUAUUUGUUGUUCUAAAAUAUGCAAUCACUGCCACUUUAGGCAGUGACCGGCCAGCUGUGUGGAGGUAUUUAUAAAAAAAUAAAAUAAAAAAAAAGGCAGGGUUAGCACUUCUCUCCAAAGCAGUGAGAUGCGGUCAUGAGGAAAGUAAGUCUGAUGGCAGAUAAACUGACCUAUUCAAACAAAUAGGUAUUCUAUUUACAAGGACACAUGGCAUCGAUCAUGAUCAUCUGCAUCACCUGAAGUAAGACGGUUAAUGUUGGAGAGUUUUAUGUUCUUUCUGCCACUCAUCUCCCAGCUGAAACUACAGGGUGCUGUGCCACGCACAGACACAGCAAAUGCAGACUAUGUUGUGUGUGUGGCAAGUUCGACAAAGAACGUUCGACAAAGAACGUUCGGAUAAAGAACCGAACUUGCCACACACAACGUUACUACCAGGCCGCGGCAGUAACGGUAAAACAUAUUUUUUUUAAAGGCAACACGAUAGUCUCAAACUAUUGGUUUUUUUUUUGGUAAUUUGAUGACUUUUAGAAAAAUGAUGACCCAUCCCUAGUGCUCCGAGUGAAAACACACAGUGCCAAAGUGUUGUCUGUAGAUUCCAACAUGCAACUGUGGAAUUCCUUUAGACCGAGGCCCAGAUUCAUAAACGGAGUAAACAUUCCAGACUGAAGAGGCAGAGACACUGAGAACAGGACUGAUGCAGUAGGAACUGCCAGGCAAUGUGGUACUUGUUGCACUAGACAUCAUUCUGCUGUGAGCUAACCUCAGUAAAAAACUAUGGAGCUACAAAGUACAUGUGCUUGUUCUGACAAAAAUAAAACUCUACACAGACAUUUUCUCUGCAGUUAGAUGGACAGUCACCUGUCUCUUCUCUGAGGUAGUAAAUAAGUAGAAAUAUCAUUAAAGGCAAGUAGAGAGAACAAUGUUUGACUCUGGAAUACACCACUAGGACUUGUGUGUACCCUGUCCUUCAAUGUUGAAUUUGGAGCAUACAGCCAACUUCAACAGUGGUCAAAUCUGCCUAACGGUUACAGGUUAAAACUAUUACUAAUGAUUUUUUGCAAAAAGAUAUAUGACACAUUAGAGGUAGAAAAUUUGACCGAAUUAUAGUGUCAAUGUCUGUUGCUAGGUAAAGAGUUUAGAUUCAUAAAAUCUACCUUUAUAGUUUCAAUCUAAUGGCACAGGUAAGAGCCAAAAUAACUAGAAAGCAAAUACAAAUUAAAACAGAAACCCACAGUUCUGUGUUUGAGGGACAGAUCAAAUUCAUCCUUUUUCUUUUUUUUUAGUAAUUGUUAUUAAGUGCUUAAACCCAAUCAGGUGAUUAGACACUCUUAGAGAGGCACAACAGUAGUAUUUUAAGACAUUGGUGCAACACUUGGAGGCUGGUUACAAUCAAACAAGUCCUUCAACAUACAGUUCAUGGAAUUAAGGCAGAAAGGAGAGAAUCAUCUGAAUCUCUCAAAGAUCAUCAUUCCAAUAUCACAUCCAUCACUGUCAACUUCCAGCUGGAGGACACCUUCAUCUCCCGUACACGUGACCAUUUUCAUGAGUGGAGCAUCCAUUAUUAGAAGGCUGCUGGUUUGGAUAAAUGAUCCUUGCCAUGCUGCACUGUGGCUCUGUUAAAGGAACACCUCCUCAACUGCUUCCCUUCUCUGGCUUUUCGUAGCCUCUGCAGCAAAGAGGAGGAUGGGGCGGGGGCGGGUCACCUUUUAUUCCUAAUUAAAUCUGAUACUCUUGUGAUCCGACACCACAGCAAUGUGGAGGAAUGAGUGCCAAUAACAAUAGUGAAAUAGUAAAAGUUAGGGAAUAGGAACAAGUGCUGUCGAAGGCCUUUUGUAGAAUCUAUGCUGCAUUCUAUUCAGAAAUGAAGUCAGAAAUUCCCAGCAAGCAGGUCACAGUUACAACCUGCUCAGAUCCAGUGGUCCAGUAUGAAAAGAACAAAAAGGGCAACAGGGAGAGCUAUGAGACUUAUUUUUGCCUAAUGACCAUCCUCAUGUGCUCCAGGCCACAUUGUGUAGCUAGGGUUGCCUCCUUCCAUUACGGAAAAAAAAUGGAAAUAGGGGAGGGCUGGAUGACCUCUACUCAAAGACACGUCGAUCAACGUAUUGCAAAGCGCUUUCGUUUCUGACUAUGACACAAUGUGUCAGCAAACAGGGUGACUAGAAUAUGACAAUGACUGUGGCAAAGAUUUUACAUUUUCUGUUUCCCACAGGUUGUUUUUUUUAAGUUGUUUUUCUUUGGGGGACAGGCAGCAGUUCUGAGGUCUCUGACCUGGUUAGCAAUGUCAGCAAAUGUACAUAUCAGAGGUCACCGUUUGACCUAUUAACACGGUGGAUUCAAGGAUAAUACAACAAACAGCUGCUGCACUGCUCUCUGAGGCGGCGCUCCGACAGAGAGGCAUAAGACUCACUGAGGAUGCUGGGAGCAUCGUAGGAGGAGACAAAGAUGAGUUGUGACUAAGAGCAAGGAAAACGUCUGAA